rnacentral:rRNA from 1 species
CGUAGGGUGCAAGCGUUAAUCGGAAUUACUGGGCGUAAAGCGUGCGCAGGCGGUUAUGCAAGACAGAUGUGAAAUCCCCGGGCUUAACCUGGGAACUGCAUUUGUGACUGCAUAGCUGGAGUACGGCAGAGGGGGAUGGAAUUCCGCGUGUAGCAGUGAAAUGCGUAGAUAUGCGGAGGAACACCGAUGGCGAAGGCAGUCCCCUGGGCCUGUACUGACGCUCAUGCACGAAAGCGUGGGGAGCAAACAGGAUUAGAUACCCUGGUAGUCCACGCCCUAAACGAUGUCAACUGGUUGUUGGGAGGGUUACUUCUCAGUAACGUAGCUAACGCGUGAAGUUGACCGCCUGGGGAGUACGGCCGCAAGGUUG